GUGCUCACUUUGGCAGCACAUACACUAGAAUUGGAACGAUACAGAGAUUAGCAUGGCCCCUGCACAAGGAUGACACGUAAAAUACACAAGGACAAAGUGCUUUC